AGGGGGCAGGAAGUCACUUCAACCCACUUCCUGUUAAUGAUCCCCAGAUGUGUCGCGGUGAGCGGGGGUCUGAUUCAUGUCCUGCGGAGGGGGCAGUUAA